ACUCAAAGGAAUUGACGGGGACCUGCACAACCAGUGGAGCAUGUGGUUUAAUUCGAGACGAACCGAAGAACCUCACCUAGAUUUGACAUAUUACCGUUUUAGUUUUUCAGAAAUGAGAAAUGAUCCCUUUAUUGUGGAUGGUAUUACAGGUGCUGCAUGGCUGUCGUCAGCUCGUGCCGUAGGGUGUUUCCUUCAGUGGAGUAACGAGCGCAACCCCUAUCAUGUGUUGAAUAUUCACAUGAGACUGCCUUACUUUGUAAGGAGGAAGGUGGGGACGACGUCAAGUCAGCAUGGCCUUUAUAUCUAGGGCUACACACAUUCUACAAUGGAGCCGACAAUGGGUUGCCAAGCCGUAAGGCGGAGCUAAUCCCAUCAAACGGCUUCUCAGUGGGGAUUGAGGGCUGCAACUCGCCCUCAUGAACGCGGAAUUGGUAGUAAUCGCGGAUCAGCUAGGCCGCGGUGAAUACGUUCUCAGGUCUUGUACACACCGCCCGU
rnacentral:rRNA from 1 species